GACGAACGCUGGCGGCGUGCUUAACACAUGCAAGUCGAACGGAAAGGCCCUGCUUUUGUGGGGUGCUCGAGUGGCGAACGGGUGAGUAACACGUGAGUAACCUGCCCUUGACUUUGGGAUAACUUCAGGAAACUGGGGCUAAUACCGGAUAGGAGCUCCUGCUGCAUGGUGGGGGUUGGAAAGUUUCGGCGGUUGGGGAUGGACUCGCGGCUUAUCAGCUUGUUGGUGGGGUAGUGGCUUACCAAGGCUUUGACGGGUAGCCGGCCUGAGAGGGUGACCGGCCACAUUGGGACUGAGAUACGGCCCAGACUCCUACGGGAGGCAGCAGUGGGGAAUAUUGCACAAUGGACGGAAGCCUGAUGCAGCAACGCCGCGUGCGGGAUGACGGCCUUCGGGUUGUAAACCGCUUUCGCCUGUGACGAAGCGUGAGUGACGGUAAUGGGGAAAGAAGCACCGGCUAACUACGU
rnacentral:rRNA from 1 species